rnacentral:rRNA from 1 species
AUGAAUAGAGGGGUGAUCUUAACUAGGGAUAAUUUGGCACGUCGCAACUGGCAAGGGUGCAAAAGUUGUGUCUUCUGCCAUCAGGACGAGUCUAUUAAACACUUAUUUUUUGAGUGCAAGUUUGCUCGGUCUGUGUGGGCCAUUGUCCAGAUAGCUUCAAAUCUUUUUCCCCCACGUAGUGCACGGAACAUGUUCGGCAAUUGGUUGAGGGGAAUAGAUAAACAAUUCUCUGCACACAUCCUUGUGGGGACAGCUGUCUUAUGUUGGGCAUUGUGGCUCACCAGGAAUGAUAUAAUUUUUAACAACAAAUGUGUUCCGUCUCCUAUGCAGGUUAUUCAUGUGUGUUCGCGAUGGCUCCGUAUGUGGUCAAUCCUGCAGAGGCCGGAGGACAUAGACCUUUUUAUGAUGUCGUCUACUCGGCUGGAGCGUACGGCCCGGGAGGUUUUCUACCCCCAUGGAUGGCGGUGUGAUCUUCGGAUAGGAUUCGCCGCGUCUUAG